AAUUAAACAUAUAUUUUCUGUAUAACUAACAAAUUCCAUUCCUGGGCAUACACCCAAGAGCAAUGAAAACAUAUGUUGACAACAGUAUCUACCCUUUCAUUUAUGUUUCUUUCUUUUUUUUUUUUCAGGUGUCUUCUGGUUUAAAACAUACUUAUGAACUUUAUAAUUUGAUCAAUGAACCUUCCUAUUAUUAAGAUGUGUCUGAUGAGUCCCCUAAAGCCCACCUUAGGGUUCAUGGAUGGCCCUGAGGAGGGCCCAGCUUGGGCUCCAGACUCAGGUUCUUGGCUUCCCUUGCUCGAAGAAUCGAGCAGAGAUCCUGACCCCCAUGGUGAGUGUUCCAGCUCCAAACAAGAGUUUGCAGACAGAGAGUGAGCAGCGAUGCAGUUUAUUGAGCAAACGAAAGUAAAAGCUUCCACAGCAUGGAAGGGUGGAAGAGGACCCGAGAGGGUUGCCGUUGUUGGCCAAGGCUGCCUGGGCUUAUGUUCCCAAGUAAUUAUGAGUGGCUGAGUGUUUGACCCCUAGUCCUGUGUGGGGAGAGGGCUUGUGACCAUGAGUCACCUAAUUUUCUCUUUCUGGUGUUUUUUCCUAGUUUCUAUUGAACUUGAAAGUAGUAUUGGAAUGUGGUUGAAGAGCUAACUGAUUGUUUGAUCACAGCCUCCUGAUGUAGUUGAAGUACCCACGUUGGCCUUUUUCCAUGCUAGGGUUUCCAAAAAGUUCUCCAUUGACCCAAAAGGUUUUAUUUCUGCACUAAUAAUAUAAAUGGAAUAAAAAUAAAAGGUGGAUCACUAGGUCAAGAGAUUGAGACCAUCCUGUUCAACAUGGUGAAACCCCAUCUCUACUAAAAAUACAAAACUUAGCUGGGUGUGGUGGCGUGCACCUGUAGUCCCAGCUACUCGGGAGGCUGAGGUAGGAGAAUUGCCUGAACCCAGGAGGCAGAGGUUGCAGUGAGCUGAGAUCACAUCAUUGCACUCCAACCUGGGUACUAAGAGCGAAGCUCCAUCUCAAAAUAAAUAAAUAAAUAAAUAAAGGGAAGCUGAACA
ensembl:lncRNA